AGAGUUUGAUCCUGGCUCAGAAUCAACGCUGGCGGCGUGCCUAACACAUGCAAGUCGAACGAGAAAGUGGAGCAAUCCAUGAGUAAAGUGGCGACCGGGUGAGUAACACGUGACUAACCUACCUUCGAGUGGGGGAUAACCUCGGGAAACCGGGGCUAAUACCGCAUAAUGCCUUCGGGUUAAAGGAGCAAUUCGCUUGAGGAGGGGGUCGCGGCUGAUUAGCUAGUUGGCGGGGUAACGGCCCACCAAGGCGAUGAUCGGUAGCCGGCCUGAGAGGGCGCACGGCCACACUGGAACUGAAACACGGUCCAGACCCCUACGGGAGGCAGCAGUGGGGAAUUUUGCGCAAUGGGGGAAACCCUGACGCAGCAACGCCGCGUGGAGGAUGAAGUCCCUUGGGAUGUAAACUCCUUUCGAUCGGGACGAUUAUGACGGUACCGGAAGAAGAAGCACCGGCUAACUCUGUGCCAGCCGCCGCGGUAAUAC
rnacentral:rRNA from 1 species